GCCAGUGUAGCUCAAGGGGUAGAGCAUCCGCCUUGUAAGCGGAAGGUUGCCCGUUCGAGUCGGGCCACUGGCUCCA
rnacentral:tRNA from 2 species